rnacentral:rRNA from 1 species
ACAUGCCUACAACAUAGCAUUAAUGCAGGGGAUCCCCUCAGAAUUUCGCAGUUAAGUGCGCUUAGACCAAAGUAGUACUCGGAUGGUUGACUGCCCGAGAAGUCCUAUGUUUUACAUUCC